AUUCUUCAACCCUCCCUUUUCUUAGUGAAUUGAGAGGAGUUUGGAUUCUGAGUGUUGCUCCUAACCCGAGCUCAUUCGUAAUGUAUUAGCAUCCAUAUUCGAAUUUCGGAUUGACUUGGCGUAAUAGACUAUUCGCUGAGGAAUCUAACUUCGGUUAGAGCCGUGUUUGAACUAGGAAGCUUCUAAUCUAGCUUAGUCUACCUUUAG
rnacentral:misc_RNA from 1 species